UGAACUUUUUUUGCCACUUGCUAGAGUAAAAUCUCCAAAUUUUAUAACUCCUUUUUGAUACAAAAAUGUAGAAA
rnacentral:tRNA from 2 species